AUUGAACGCUGGCGGCAGGCCUAACACAUGCAAGUCGAACGAGUGGCGGACGGGUGAGUAAUGUCUGGGAAACUGCCUGAUGGAGGGGGAUAACUACUGGAAACGGUAGCUAAUACCGCAUACCAUCGGAUGUGCCCAGAUGGGAUUAGCUAGUGGGUGGGGUAAAGGCUCACCUAGGCGACGAUCCCUAGCUGGUCUGAGAGGAUGACAAGCAACACGGGAACUGAGGCACGGGCCAGACUCCUACGGGAGGAAGCAGUGGGGAAUAUUGCACAAUGGGCGCAAGCCUGAUACAGCAAGGCCGCGUAUAUGAAGAGGGCCUUCGGGUUGUAAAGUACUUUCAGCGGGGAGGCGUUACCCGAAGAAGAAGCACCGGCUAACUCCGUGCCAGCAGCCGCGGUAAUUC
rnacentral:rRNA from 1 species